rnacentral:rRNA from 1 species
AGUGAACGCUGGCGGUAGGCCUAACACAUGCAAGUCGAACGGCAGCACAGUAAGAGCUUGCUCUUACGGGUGGCGAGUGGCGGACGGGUGCGGAAUACACCGGAAUCUACUUUUUCGUGGGGGAUAACGUAGGGAAACUUACGCUAAUACCGCAUACGACCUACGUGUGAAAGCAGGGGAUCUUCGGACCUUGCGCUAUUGAAUGUGCCGAUGUCGGAUUAGCUAGUUGGCGGGGUAAAGGCCCACCAAGGCGGCGAUCCGUAGCUGGUCUGAGAGGAAGAUCAGGUACACUGGAACUGAGACACGGUCCAGACACCGACAGGAGGAAGCAGUGGGGAAUAUUGCACGAUGGAGGCAAGCGUGAUCCAGCGAAACCGCGUAAGUGAAGAAGGAGUUAGGGUGGUAGAACCAUUAUGGUGGGAAAGAAGAGCAACAGUUUAAUACCCCGCUGUUCUGACGGUACCCAAAGAAUAAGCACCGGCUAACUUCGUG